rnacentral:rRNA from 1 species
UCUGGCGUCUUUGGCGUCCGAGUUGUAAUUUGAAGAAGGUAUCUUUGGGCCCGGCUCUUGUCUAUGUUCCUUGGAACAGGACGUCACAGAGGGUGAGAAUCCCGUGCGAUGAGAUGACCCGGGUCUGUGUAAAGUUCCUUCGACGAGUCGAGUUGUUUGGGAAUGCAGCUCUAAGUGGGUGGUAAAUUCCAUCUAAAGCUAAAUAUUGGCGAGAGACCGAUAGCGAACAAGUACAGUGAUGGAAAGAUGAAAAGAACUUUGAAAAGAGAGUGAAAAAGUACGUGAAAUUGUUGAAAGGGAAGGGCUUGAGAUCAGACUUGGUAUUUUGCAUGCUGCUCUCUCGGGGGCGGCCGCUGCGGUUUACCGGGCCAGCAUCGGUUUGGAGCGGCAGGAUAAUGGCGGAGGAAUGUGGCACGGCUUCUGCUGUGUGUUAUAGCCUCUGACGAUACUGCCAGCCUAGACCGAGGACUGCGG